rnacentral:rRNA from 2 species
GGGUUGUGAGGUUAAGCGACUAAGCGUACACGGUGGAUGCCCUGGCAGUCAGAGGCGAUGAAGGGCGUGCUAAUCUGCGAUAAGCGCCGGUAAGGUGAUAUGAACCGUUAUAACCGGCGAUACCCGAAUGGGGAAACCCAGUGUGACUCGUCACACUAUCAUUAACUGAAUCCAUAGGUUAAUGAGGCGAACCGGGGGAACUGAAACAUCUAAGUACCCCGAGGAAAAGAAAUCAACCGAGAUUCCCCCAGUAGCGGCGAGCGAACGGGGAGGAGCCCAGAGCCUGAAUCAGCAUGUGUGUUAGUGGAAGCGUCUGGAAAGGUGCGCGAUACAGGGUGACAGCCCCGUACACAAAAGCGCAUGUGCUGUGAGCUCGAUGAGUAGGGCGGGACACGUGGUAUCCUGUCUGAAUAUGGGGGGACCAUCCUCCAAGGCUAAAUACUCCUGACUGACCGAUAGUGAACCAGUACCGUGAGGGAAAGGCGAAAAGAACCCCGGCGAGGGGAGUGAAAAAGAACCUGAAACCGUGUACGUACAAGCAGUGGGAGC